rnacentral:rRNA from 1 species
UACAGAGGGGGCAAGCGUUGUUCGGAAUUACUGGGCGUAAAGCGCGCGUAGGCGGCCGCUUAAGUCGGAUGUGAAAGCCCCUGGCUCAACUGGGGAAGUGCACCCGAAACUGAGUGGCUUGAGUACUAAAGAGGGUCGCGGAAUUCCCGGUGUAGAGGUGAAAUUCGUAGAUAUCGGGAGGAACACCGGUGGCGAAGGCGGCGACCUGGGUAGAUACUGACGCUGAGGCGCGAAAGCGUGGGGAGCAAACAGG